UCGGUUAAGGUUCAUCUAGUGAGCAAGAAACCCCGUUCGCUCUCCCAUAGACAAGCUUAUGAGCGGCAGAUUAGUAGUUGGGUCGGUGACGACCAGCGAACACCGGCUGUUGUAUGUU